rnacentral:rRNA from 1 species
UACGAAGGGGGCUAGCGUUGUUCGGAAUCACUGGGCGUAAAGGGCGCGUAGGCGGCUUGAUAAGUCGGGGGUGAAAGCCUGUGGCUCAACCACAGAAUUGCCUUCGAUACUGUCUGGCUUGAGUGCGGGAGAGGGAUGUGGAAUUCCAGGUGUAGCGGUGAAAUGCGUAGAUAUCUGGAGGAACACCGGUGGCGAAGGCGACAUCCUGGACCGGUAUUGACGCUGAGGCGCGAAAGCCAGGGGAGCAAACGGG